rnacentral:rRNA from 1 species
GAUGAACGCUGGCGGCGUGCCUAAUACAUGCAAGUCGAGCGAACAGACGAGGAGCUUGCUCCUCUGACGUUAGCGGCGGACGGGUGAGUAACACGUGGAUAACCUACCUAUAAGACUGGGAUAACUUCGGGAAACCGGAGCUAAUACCGGAUAAUAUAUUGAACCGCAUGGUUCAAUAGUGAAAGACGGUUUUGCUGUCACUUAUCGAUGGAUCCGCGCCGCAUUAGCUAGUUGGUAAGGUAGCGGCUUACCAAGGCAACGAUGCGUAGCCGACCUGAGAGGGUGAUCGGCCACACUGGAACUGAGACACGGUCCAGACUCCUACGGGAGGCAGCAGUAGGGAAUCUUCCGCAAUGGGCGAAAGCCUGACGGAGCAACGCCGCGUGAGUGAUGAAGGUCUUCGGAUCGUAAAACUCUGUUAUUAGGGAAGAACAAAUGUGUAAGUAACUAUGCACGUCUUGACGGUACCUAAUCAGAAAGCCACGGCUAACUACGUG